GACGAACGCUGGCGGCGUGCUUAACACAUGCAAGUCGAGCGGUAAGGCCCUUUCGGGGGUACACGAGCGGCGAACGGGUGAGUAACACGUGGGUGACCUGCCCUUAGCUCUGGGAUAAGCCUGGGAAACUGGGUCUAAUACCGGAUAUGACUCCAUGACGCAUGUUGUGGGGUGGAAAGCCUUGUGCGGCUAGGGAUGGGCCCGCGGCCUAUCAGCUUGUUGGUGGGGUGANGGCCUACCAAGGCGACGACGGGUAGCCGGCCUGAGAGGGCGACCGGCCACACUGGGACUGAGACACGGCCCAGACUCCUACGGGAGGCAGCAGCGGGGAAUCUUGCGCAAUGGGCGAAAGCCUGACGCAGCGACGCCGC
rnacentral:rRNA from 1 species